AGGCAGCAGUGGGGAAUAUUGCACCAAUGGGCGGAAAGCCUGAUGCAAGCGACGCCGCGUGAAGGGAUGACGGCCCUUCGGGGUUGUAAACCUCUUUUCAACCAGGGAAGAAGCGAGAGUGACGGUACCUGCAGAAGAAGCGCCGGCUAACUACGUGCCAGCAGCCGCGGUAAUACGUAGGGCGCGAGCGUUGUCCGGAAUUAUUGGGCGUAAAGAGCUCGUAGGCGGCUUGUCACGUCGGAUGUGAAAGCCCGGGGCUUAACCCCCGGGUCUGCAUUCGAUACGGGCAGGCUAGAGUUCGGUAGGGGAGAUCGGAAUUCCUGGUGUAGCGGUGAAAUGCGCAGAUAUCAGGAGGAACACCGGUGGCGAAGGCGGAUCUCUGGGCCGAUACUGACGCUGAGGAGCGAAAGCGUGGGGAGCGAACAGGAUUAGAUACCCUGGUAGUCCACGCCGUAAACGUUGGGAACUAGGUGUGGGCGACAUUCCACGUCGUCCGUGCCGCAGCUAACGCAUUAAGUUCCCCGCCUGGGGGAGUACGGCCGCAAGGCUAAAACUCAAAGGAAUUGACGGGGGGCCCGCACAAGCAGCGGAGCAUGUGGCUUAAUUCGACGCAACGCGAAGAACCUUACCAAGGCUUGACAUACACCGGAAAAACCGUGGAGACACGGUCCCCCUUGUGGUCGGUGUACAGGUGGGUGCAUGGCUGUCGUCAGCUCGUGUCGUGAGAUGUUUGGGUUAAGUCCCGCAACGAGCGCAACCCUUUGUUCUGUGUUGCCAGCAUGCCUUUUCGGGGGUGAUGGGGACUCACAAGGAGACUGCCGGGGUCAACUCCGGAAGGAAGGUGGGGGACCAACGUCAAGUUCUCAUGGCCCCUUUAUGUCUUGGGCUUGCCAACCUGGCUACAAUGGGCCGGUACAUUGAGCUGCGAUACCGCGGAAGGUGGAGCGAAUCUCAAAAAGCCCGGUCUCAGUUUUCGGAUUUGGGGUC
rnacentral:rRNA from 1 species